rnacentral:rRNA from 1 species
CAAUAGCGUAUAUUUAAGUUGUUGCAGUUAAAAAGCUCGUAGUUGGAUUUUGGGUGCGGCAGGCCGGUCCGCCGUUUCGGUGUGCACUGGCAGGCGGCAUCUUUCUGUCGAGGACGCGCUCCGGGGUUUACGCCUCGGACGCGGAGUCGGCGCAGUUACUUUGAAAAAAUUAGAGUGUUCAAAGCGGGCUUACGCUUGAAUAUAUUAGCAUGGAAUAACACUAUAGGACUCCUGUCCUAUUCUGUUGGUCUUCGGGAUGGGAGUAAUGAUUAAGAGGAACAGUUGGGGGCAUUCGUAUUUCAUUGUCAGAGGUGAAAUUCUUGGAUCGCCGUAAGACGAACUACUGCGAAAGCAUUUGCCAAGAAUGUUUUUCAUUAAUCAAGAUCGAAAGUCAGAGGUUCGAAGAUGAUCAGAU